ACUGAGCGAUUCAACCAGACUUUGAAGCAGAUGUUGAGGAAGUUUGUUAGUGAGACUGGUCAAGACUGGGAUCAAUGGUUGCCAUAUCUUCUAUUUGCUUAUCGGGAAGUCCCUCAGGCUUCCACAGGCUUUUCUCCUUUCGAGCUGUUGUAUGGCCGUGAUGUCAGAGGCCCAUUGGCUCUGCUCCAGGAGAUGUGGGAAGGGAGUCCUGAAAAAGAGCCCACCAGUGUUGUUUCCUAUGUUCUACAGAUGAGGGAACGGUUGCAGAGGAUGACCGGUUUGGCUCAGAAUCAUUUGGCAGAAGCCAGAGGAAAGCAGAAGACGUGGUAUGACCCUCUGGCUCGAGAAAGGGACCUGGAGGUCGGUACAAAGGUACUUGUCAUGUUGCCUAGUCGAGAGAGUAAACUACUAGCGAAAUGGCAGGGUCCUUAUGAAAUCAAGAAACGCCUGGGUCCUACAACUUAUGAAAUCAGUAUGCCGGGUCAAGAUCGAUCUAGUCGGGUUCUGCAUGUUAACCUGUUGAAAGAGUGGGUUCCUCGUCCUGAAAAGGCACAGUCACUGAUGAUUCGCUGUGUUGAAGAGGAAGAAUCUGAUGAGCAGUAUCUGCCACAGCCAGUUCCUGGAGAAAUCGGGCUAGAUCAUCUAACAGCUUCCCAGCAGUCCCAAGUACAAGUUCUCUUCACUUCUAAGGUAUUUUCUGAAUAUCCUGGGUUUACCAACUUGAUUGAGCAUGGUGUGAUACUGAAACCUGAUGCUGUCGUGAAACGCCAGAGCUAUAGGAUACCGGAAAGAUUGCAGGUGCCCUUGCAGGAAGAGGUAGACCUUAUGCUCCGCUUGGGAAUUAUUGAGCCUUCGAACAGUGAGUGGUGUCACCCCAUAGUCCUUGUGCCAAAAAAAGACGGGAGUAUAAGGUUCUGUAUAGAUUUCCGAUAUCUCAACUCGGUAUCACAGUUUGAUUCCUAUCCUACCCCUCGCAUAAGUGACCUAAUUGAUCGGUUGGGCCAAUCCAAAUAUCUCACAACAAUGGACCUUUCUAAAGGCUAUUGGCAAAUUCCACUGACUUCACCCUCACGGCCCUUGACUGCAUUCAGAACCCCAAGGGGCCUUUUCCAUUUUAAGGUGUUACCUUUUGGCCUUCAUGGGGCCGUGGCGACGUUUCAGAGAUUAAUUGACCAAGUGUUACGGGGCUUGCCUUUUGCUGCUGCAUACCUUGACGAUAUUGUCAUUUAUAGUAACACCUGGGAGGAACAUGUGCAACAUCUCGCAGAAGUCUUGCAGCGUCUUCAGAAUGCCGGCCUAACGGUCAACCCCACCAAGUGUGCUAUAGCUAAACAGGAGACCGAAUACCUGGGUUAUGUCAUCGGCCAGGGUGUUGUGCGACCGCAGGUGAAGAAAGUUCAAGCUUUGGAGGGGUGUGCGGUACCCCAGACACGU
ensembl:lncRNA